rfam:Gossypium arboreum cultivar AKA8401 contig_5625_1, whole genome shotgun sequence.
AUUCCGUGAUGAGGGUAUUUCCUUAGAAGUUCUUUGUAUCAUUCCCAUGCCUAAUACAAGGAUUCAUCAUCCAUUUAUUGGAAGGCAGUGAUCUCGUUCCUCAACUU